rnacentral:rRNA from 1 species
CACGUAGGGCGCAAGCGUUGUCCGGAAUUAUUGGGCGUAAAGAGCGUGUAGGCGGCCAGGUAGGUCUGCUGUGAAAACUCGAGGCUUAACCUCGAGAUGUCGGCGGAAACCAUCUGGCUAGAGUCCGGAAGAGGAGAGUGGAAUUCCUGGUGUAGCGGUGAAAUGCGCAGAUAUCAGGAAGAACACCCGUGGCGAAGGCGGCUCUCUGGGACGGUACUGACGCUGAGACGCGAAAGCGUGGGGAGCGAACAGG